AACAGAACCCCCAAGCGUUACCCGGAUUUAUUGGGCGUAAAGCGUCUGUAGCCGGUAUGGCAAGUCUGCAGUUAAAUGCCAAGAGCUCAACUUUUGGAAUGCUGCAGAAACUGCCAAACUAGAGGGCGUUAGGGGCUGAUGGAACGCACGGUGGAGGGGUGAAAUCCGUUGAUAUCGUGCGGAACACCAAAAGCGAAGGCAUUCAGCUGGGGCGACCCUGACGGUGAGAGACGAAAGCGUGGGGAGCGAAAAGG
rnacentral:misc_RNA from 1 species